UGUGUUUGUUCGAAGGAGAGCCAGGGGAGAGGGGAAACGGUGGAUUCCCAGGCGCUCAAGGACCCAGUGGACAGAGGAUGUUCUACACUGGAGCUGGAAUGAACCCUGUCAGAUCCUUCGUCCUGCUACGUUCAAGAGGAACUUCAUGAACCACUGGCUCUCAGAUCCGCUGAUGCCACGCUGCUAAGGAUUCCUACCCUUCCACCAAAGGAAAUUGGUGAAGCCGCCUUCGAUAUGUACGCGCCCAAGAGAUGGAACUCUGCCUCUUGACAUCAGAGACACUACCUCCAUCAACUCGCACAACUCUUCACCCUCGCCUAUUCUUAGCUGCUCAGGCUCCACAUGUCGUGCCUUGAUGUGCAAAAUCUGUAGUCAUCUCUCUUCCUUUUAAUCCGUGUGUGAUUACAAAGUGUGUGUGUGUGUGUGUGUGUGUGUGUGUGUGUGUGUGUGUGUGUGUGUGUGUGUGUGUGUGUGUGUGUGUGUGUGUGUGUGUGUGUGUGAUUACAAAGCGUGUGUGUGUGAUUACAAAGUGUGCGGCCGUGUGUGAUUACAAAGCGUGUGUGUGUGUGGGGGGGGGUUAAUAUGUGGAUUGAAG